CGGGACGGGUGAGUAACGCGUGGGUAACCGUGCCUCACACAGGGGGAUAACAGUUGGAAACGGCUGCUAAUACCGCAUAAGCGCACAGUACCGCAUGGUACAGUGUGAAAAACUCCGGUGGUGUGAGAUGGACCCGCGUCUGAUUAGCUAGUUGGCAGGGCAACGGCCUACCAAGGCGACGAUCAGUAGCCGACCUGAGAGGGUGACCGGCCACAUUGGGACUGAGACACGGCCCAA
rnacentral:rRNA from 1 species